UUGGUUGGUCUAUGUAACGAUCUAGGCUUACUCUGGGACUUCAAUUCAAUUAAUUGUAUCGAUGACCUUUUGCAUUAUUGGAUAAUUUUUUGCCUGUCUAUGAAACAAGCUGGGAUGAGUAGCUCAAGAAUUUGCUAAUUAGUUUACAUCUCGUUUGACCCUAUUGUUGUCAUGGAAUUGCUUUAUCACAUGAUUGAUUUGGGCAUGGUUAACUGGGCUGAGGAAGUUCAAAUUCUGUACCUGAGACUGAUCAAAAUAAAGAAAAAGGAUUUUGCAGAGGAAGCUACUGCAACAGCUGAGGACCGUCUUGCAUGCCAACCUUGAAGACGUGCCGGGGCCAACUGGAAUGUCGCAAGGAAGUUUUGAUGCUUCUGACUAUUCAAACACUUGAUCUGAUCUCGACGUCAUAUCCCUGAAUGAUUGUAAAUAGUUGUCUGAUCCGGUUGUAUUCUAAUGGUAUCACUUUUGAAUUGAUGAGGCUCUGUAGAGGGAGAUUAAAGCUGCAUUUGAUGGAAUUCGGAGAAAGUCUCCAAACGCCAUGGGUUGGAGAUACGGGCAUGAAUGAGCUAUGUCGGUAUGGAAAAGCAUUCCGGAGUUCUUUGCUAUUGGCGUUUGUCACUGGCUCUGUGUUGUUAUUACUCUUCAAAGGAUUCUUGAUAUAAGGCCACCUCUUCUCAUGUGGUGUAUUAGUCCUUUGCAAACUUUGAAAUUGUGCUACUCUUUACCAAAGGCUGCAUCACAAAUCACUUGGAGGUAGCAAAGGCUGCAUCACAAAUCACUUGGAGGAAGACCGCAUGUGUAGAUGGUUCUAUAUGUGGAAUCAACCUUAAAAUGAGAUUUGUUAACAAGAUUACUAUUUAGAUGUCCACUUUAAGCUACAGUUUUGUGACUAGGAGAGAAUUUUUUUUCGUGGAAAAAGCAAAUGCCGAGGAAUCAGCAAAUAAUCUUUCAAUUGCAGCCAAGAGUUUCAAUGAAUAGGUUUCCAAGGUAGUUUCCCAUUUGGAAGAAUUUUGAACGCAAAAGAACGGCAUUCAUUAGUGUAAAAUCAUCUCUCUGGUCUGGUUACGUCAGAUUUUUCAUAUGUGGGCAUUUUGCAAUCACUUUGGCUGUAUAAUCUCAAACUUGAUUUAUCUAAGCAUGGAUCUAAAAGCAGAAGAGACAGCCAUGUACAUUUGCAUACCUAAAACCAAGUAGAGAGACCAGUUCGUUCUUUGAAGAGCAGCAUUACUUUUGCCCUUCAAGAUUUUCUUAGGUGGAUGCAUGGAGCUUAUGCCACUCAGAGUCACACCUCCACGGUUGUUUGCAGCGUUUCCACCACUAAAACCAGAGGAGGAGAAGAAAGCGAAGAAGAUCAUAUCAAAGCCGGGACGGGAGAACGUGUAUCUCAGUGUUCAGGUGGUUCACCAAGUUGAAAUUGGGGAGAGCAUGGCAAUCUUAGGAUCCACAAGAGAAUUGGGAUCUUGGAUGAAGAAUGUGGCAAUGGACUGGACCAAGCGUGGAUUGUUAUGUGAGUUAGAACUGAAAAGAGGUGAAUCUAUCAAAUUAGAAGAGCUUAUGUUAGAUUUUGCUAAUAUUACUGUGAUUCCUACGUAUAUCGAUUCUCUGAGGAAGCGGGAGAAACUGAGUGCCUGCUGUUGUGAGUAACUCAGAGAAAUCCCUAGCUCAAUUUGAGAUUCACAGAAUUUGCAACAUCUGGACAUUAGUGGUUUUGGGAUUGAAAAGCUUCCUUGUGCUAUCGGAAGGUUGAAAAAUGUGCGCACUAUAAGUCUCUGAUCAUGCCUUGUCUAAAAAAGCAAUUCCAAGUGGAAUCCGUGACU